rnacentral:rRNA from 1 species
ACGGAGGCAGCAGUAAGGAAUUUUGGACAAUGGGCGCAAGCCUGAUCCAGCCAUGCCGCGUGAGUGAAGAAGGCCUUCGGGUUGUAAAGCUCUUUCGGUGAAGACGAAACGGUUCGCGCUAAUAAUGCGAACUAAUGACGGUACUCACAGAAGAAGCACCGGCUAACUACGUGCCAGCAGCCGCGGUAAUACGUAGGGUGCAGGCGUUAAUCGGAAUUACUGGGCGUAAAGCGUGCGCAGGCGGUUUGCUAAGACAGGUGUGAAAUCCCCGGGCUUAACCUGGGAAUUGCGCUUGUAACUGGCAAGCUAGAGUGUGGCAGAGGGGGGUGGAAUUCCACGUGUAGCAGUGAAAUGCGUAGAUAUGUGGAGGAACACCGAUGGCGAAGGCAGCCCCCUGGGUUAACACUGACGCUCAUGCACGAAAGCGUGGGGAGCAAACAGGAUUAGAUACCCCCGUAU